rnacentral:rRNA from 1 species
CCUACGGGGAGCUGCAGUGGGGAAUAUUGGACAAUGGGCGAAAGCCUGAUCCAGCCAUGCCGCGUGUGUGAAGAAGGCCUUCGGGUUGUAAAGCACUUUCAGUGGGGAAGAAAGCCUUGGGGCUAAUACCCUCGAGGAAGGACAUCACCCACAGAAGAAGCACCGGCUAACUCCGUGCCAGCAGCCGCGGUAAUACGGAGGGUGCGAGCGUUAAUCGGAAUUACUGGGCGUAAAGCGCGCGUAGGCGGUCUGAUAAGCCGGUUGUGAAAGCCCCGGGCUCAACCUGGGAACGGCAUCCGGAACGGUCCGGCUAGAGUGCAGGAGAGGAAGGUAGAAUUCCCGGUGUAGCGGUGAAAUGCGUAGAGAGCGGGAGGAAUACCAGUGGCCAAGGCGGCCUUCUGGACUGACACUGACGCUGAGGUGCGAAAGCGUGGGUAGCAAACAGGAUUAGAUACCCGGGUAGUC